UACGGGGGGGGCAAGCGUUGUUCGGAAUUACUGGGCGUAAAGGGCUCGUAGGCGGCCAACUAAGUCGGACGUGAAAUCCCUCGGCUUAACCGGGGAACUGCGUCCGAUACUGGAUGGCUUGAGUUCGGGAGAGGGAUGCGGAAUUCCAGGUGUAGCGGUGAAAUGCGUAGAUAUCUGGAGGAACACCGGUGGCGAAGGCGGCAUCCUGGACCGACACUGACGCUGAGGAGCGAAAGCCAGGGGAGCAAAUGGG
rnacentral:rRNA from 1 species